UUCAUCCCUGAGGUCCUAAGAUUAGGAGAGGCUUGCUUAUUCAUUCAAAGUACUGUGAAAUUACGAGUUCAAACACAUCAGAGUAAAAAAAAUCAUUAAAAAAAAAACUAAAAUUUCUAUAUAGAUGGCAACUGAAAUAAUCAAGAAAGAGAACACAACUGUUACAAAAUCUCCAGGCCUGUUAUUUACACCAAUGCGUCAUUUGUCAUCUUUCAUCUUCCUGUUUUGCAGUGGAGUCAUCUAAGUGACCGCCAAAACUUUGGUUUUUCUCUAUUAUUUACACCUCUUUCAUGUUAAUUGUUCAACUUGAUAAGAGAAACUACCACUUUUCUCAUGGAGGGUCUCACAUCAGGCAGUGGUUCAGUGCAUUCAAGCCCCAAUUCAAGCAAUCUCAAAGCCUUUUUUUGCUCAUCUAUUUCCCAGAAACUGAUUUGCUCAUCGAGGAAGCAAAUGUACUCAUCAUUGUCUUGCAGUUUCUUCCGCAUCCAGGAGGAAAUAUCCUGACCUUCCUCAAAGCUGGGGUCUACUGGCAAUUUUCUACAAAGGAGCUCAAAUAAAAUGACUCCAUAGCUGUACACAUCAACUUUCUCUGUCAAUCGGAUGGCAUAUGCGUUUUCUGGUGCUAUGUAACCCAAUGUUCCAACAACUGAAGACCUUGUUGUGCUCAAAUCAGAACCAAGGAGCAAUUUUGCCAUCCCAAAAUCUCCAAUCUUUGGUUCCAAUUCACAAUCCAUCAAAAUGUUGUCUGACUUGAUAUCUCUGUGAAUAAUUUGUGGCACACAGUCAUGGUGAAGGUAUGAAAGGCCUUGAGCAAUUCCAAAAGCAAUGCGAUGUCUAGUGUCCCAGUUCAAAACCAAGCGAGGUUCCUGUCUGUGCAGGACAUCAAAAAGUGUCCCUUCAGGCAUGUACUCGGUAACAAUGAACCCAUAUCCAUCUUUGAUGCAGUAACCUGCCAAUCUAAUUACAUUCCGGUGCCUAACCAAGCUCAGGGUUCUCAUUUCAAGGCUAAAGUUUGUCUCAGAUAAAUUCACCUUCUUGACAGCCCAAUGCUUCCUGGAGUUCAUAGUUUUUGUCCGGUAUACUGUCCCAUGCUUACCUCUCCCAAUAACAUACUUGUCACUCCAGCCUUCAGUAGCACGCAUUAUAUCUUCAAAUUUCAAAUCCUCUGGUAAAUCUUCUGUUACCGACUGACAUUCACGAAGAAGUGAUUGAUCGCGGGAGUAUUUCUGCUGAAGGCCUCGAACCGCUGUAAUAUAAAUCACAACAAAAAGCAAUGAUACGGAGACAACUGCACCAACAACUAUACCAGCCAGGUGAUACCUUCUUGUACGGCCAUCUCUAACUUCUCCACAGUAUCUUGCAUCACUACCUAGCAAACAAAGUUCUGGGUUUCCAAGAAAAGACCCUGGAUAUGAAACCAUUAUUUUCAUCCAUGAAGCUGGGAGUUUUCCUGAGAGUUGAUUGAACGAUAUGUUCACAAAGUAAAGGGAGAUCAUGUUGUUUAGUUCUGUUGGUAUCUCACCAGAGAAACCGUUGCUUGAGAGAUCAAGAAUCUGUAACUUGUCUAGAUUGCCAAGGCAUCCUGGGAUUUGACCAGAGAGCUUGUUAUAGCUCAAAUUAAGAACUGAACUAAAAUGGUUAAGAUUACUCAAACUACAGGGAAUAGGACCUUCAAGCUUGUUAUUAGAAAGCUGUAACUCAAAGAGAUUUUGAAGGGGAGAAAAAAUGUUGGGAAUUACUCCGCUAAGUUUGUUCUCUUGAAGGAGAAGGCUUUGCAAUUUCACCAAUGAAGUGAUCUCAGUAGGAAUUUUCCCUGAGAGAUCAUUCUUACUUAGAUCCACUUUAAUCAACUUUCUGCAAUGACCAAGGUCAGAGGGAAUGUUCCCAGUUAGUCUAUUAGAAGCAACUCUUAAGAUUUGAAGAUUUGUAAGCUUUCCAAGCUCAGGAGGUAUAGCACUAGAUAGUCUAUUUUCUGAAAAAUCAAUCAUUGUUAGAUUGCUCCAAAAACCAAAUACUGGAGGUAUGUUCCCUUCAAGCCAGUUUCUGCGAAUCUCUAGAAACGAAAUCCCAGAAUUCCUUUCCAAAUCAUCUGGUAUUCUCCCUUUCAGAAGAUUGUUACUAAUAAUCACCCUCCUAAGGGACAAACAUUUUCCAAUGAAGGUUGGAAAACUCCCAUUAAACUUGUUGUUCCCAAGGGCCAGAACUGAAAGAUUAUUGCCAUUGCAUAUGCUAGAAGGAAUUGAUCCACGGAGGUGGUUACCAGUUAGAUCCAGUUUGACUAGACCUGGAGAAUUUCUCCCAAGGUCAGAAGGUAACUCUCCCGUAAGGUUAUUAUGAGCUAAUGAAAGAAAGUUGAUUUUUUUCAAAUGGGUAAUUGUGGAAGGGAUUCUGCCAGAUAAAUUAUUGUCAUACAUGGCCAAUUGGACAAGGUUACUCAUUCUUCCUAUCUGCCAGGGAAUUUCGCCUCCAAAACGAUUAUUGAACAUAAAAAGAACUUUAAGAUUCUCAAGAUUACAAAUUUCAGGAGGGAUACGCCCACCAAUAAAGUUAUUCUGAAUCCUAAGUUCAGCAAGUGAACUGCAAUUUCCAAGCUCAGGAGGCAGUGAGCCAUUUAGCUUGUUAUCAAAGAGAAUUAGACUGUUCAGAUAUUUGAGAUUUCCAAUUGACUGAGGAAUCUGGCCAACUAGAUUAUUACUAGAAAGAGCAAUAACCUUUAACUGAGAGCACUGAGCUAUCCUCUCAGAUAUGGUACCAUUGAGCUUAUUCCCCGAAAGAACAAGUUCUUGUAAAUUUUCAAGACCCCACAAAGUUUCUGGAAUUUCCCCUUUAAGUUUGUUUUCAUCAAGAUAAAGAACUUGAAGUUGCUGAAGACCCUUGAAAAUCUCUGGUGCAAUGACCCCUUCAAAUUUGUUUUUAGAUGCCAUAAACAUGGUAAGGUUUUGGCAGUUACUAAGAGAAAGAGGCAAAGAUCCAGAAAAUGCAUUCCCAUGAAUCCAAAGAUCAUAGAUUGCACAAGAAGGUGAGAAAUUUGGUAAUGACCCAGUUAAGUUAUUUGUGUUCAGAUACAGGAACUUCAAUUUUGACAGUGAAAAUACUUCACUUGGAACCUCACCACUUAAAUAAUUGUUAUACAAUCCUAUGUAUUCAAGAUUGGAGCAAAAGCUUACCUCAGGAGGAAUAUUACCAGAGAGAGAAUUAUAGCCCAAGUCCACCAGUAAAAGAAGCUUUGAUUGAAAAAGCUCAGUAGGGAUCAAACCUUCAAAACCAUUGUCAUUUAGAAGAAUGGUAUUGAGAUGGCCACAAUUUCCAAGCAGCUGGGGAAUAACACCAGUGAAAUUAUUGCCACUGAGGUCAAGAGAGACCAAAUGUUUGUGGAGGCAGAGAUAGGAAAUGGAGUUGUUCAAGAUCCCAGAUAGACCGAAUCCUGAAAGAUUCAAAGCCUUAACUUGAAAGUUCUUGAUGGAAUAGCAAGAAACUCCUGGCCAGUUGCAAGGAGAAGAAGUUGAAUUUGAAAGAUUCCAUGGCAAGAGCUGCUGAGAAACUGGUGGAAGACUGUCACGAAACUGCAGAAGGUAAAUUGCAGAUGGAGGUAACGAGAGUGAUGAAGCUAGAAAAGGGAUAUGAGAGAUGAGAACAAAAUAUGGACACAGCAAGAACAUGGUAAGAGCCAUAUAGCUAAAAGUGGCAAGAAAACUGUGACAUGUUGUUUUCCUUUUCUUGAUUGAUUUAGAAAUCAUUUCUUGCAUCUGCCAUUUGAGGGUUGAACUUGAAUUUCUCUAAAUGAAGGUUUUCUGGGUGCUGCUUCUGCUUUCUACUAUUGCAUUUUGAUUGUUUUCUUUUG
rnacentral:misc_RNA from 1 species